rnacentral:rRNA from 1 species
UACGAGAGGCCCAAACAUUAUUCGGAAUUACUGGGCGUAAAGCGUGCGCAGGCGGUUUUGUAAGCCAGAUGUGAAAUCCCCGGGCUCAACCUGGGAAUGGCAUUUGGGACUGCAAGGCUUGAGUGCGGCAGAGGAGACUGGAAUUCCUGGUGUAGCAGUGAAAUGCGUAGAUAUCAGGAGGAAUACCGAUGGCGAAGGCAGGUCUCUGGGCUGACACUGACGCUCAUGCACGAAAGCGUGGGGAGCAAACAGG